AGUGGAUGGGGAGCAACCUAGUUGUGCGUGUGUAAAGGUAGUGCCAAGAAAAGCGGUGAUCAUGAUGAAAAUCAAUUCCCGGUACCCGAAACCGACACAGGUGGGCAAGUAGAGAAUACUAAGGGGCGCGAGGUAACUCUCUCCAAGGAACUCGGCAAAAUGACCCCGUAACUUAGGGAGAAGGGGUGCCACCGAGAGGUGGUCGCAGUGAAGAGGCCCAGGCGACUGUUUAGCAAAAACAUAGGUCUCUGCAAACUCGAAAGAGGAGGUAUAGGGGCUGACGCCUGCCCAGUGCCGGAAGGUUAAAGAAGUUGGUCAGUCUUAGGAUAAAGCUAGCGACUGAAGCCCCGGUGAACGGCGGCCGUAACUAUAACGGUCCUAAGGUAGCGAAAUUCCUUGUCGGGUAAGUUCCGACCCGCACGAAAGGCGUAACGAUCUGGGCGCUGUCUCGGAGAGAGGCUCGGCGAAAUAGGAUUGUCUGUGAAGAUACGGACUACCUGCAUUUGGACAGAAAGACCCUAUGAAGCUUUACUAUAGCUUGGAAUUGUGUUCGGGCUUCCUGUGCGCAGGAUAGGUGGGAGGCGAAGAAGGUAUUCUUGUGGGGAUACUGGAGCCAACGGUGAGAUACCACUCUCAGGAGGCUAGAAUUCUAACUUAAUUAAGGACAGUUUCAGGUGGGUAGUUUGACUGGGGCGGUCGCCUCCAAAAAGGUAACGGAGGCGUACAAAGGUUCCCUCAGACUGGUUGGAAAUCAGUCGCAGAGUGCAAAGGCAGAAGGGAGCUUGACUGCGAGAAGUACAGUUCGAGCAGGGUGGAAACACGGUCUUAGUGAUCCGACGGUGCUGUGUGGAAGGGCCGUCGCUCAACGGAUAAAAGUUACUCUAGGAUAACAGGCUGAUCUCCCCCAAGAGUUCACAUCGACGGGGAGGUUUGGCACCUCGAUGUCGGCUCAUCGCAACCUGGGGCGGAAGUACGUCCCAAGGGUUGGGCUGUUCGCCCAUUAAAGCGGUACGUGAGCUGGGUUCAGAACGUCGUGAGACAGUUCGGUCCAUAUCCGAUGUAGGCGUGAGAAUAUUGAGAGAGCCUUCCUUAGUACGAGAGGACCGGGAAGGACGCACCGCUGGUGUACCUGUUAUGAUGCCAAUUGUAAACGCAGGGUAGCCAAGUGCGGAGAGGAUAACCGCUGAAAGCAUCUAAGUGGGAAGCCCACCUCAAGAUGAGUAUUCUGGUGUAAGGUCACGGGAAGACGACCCGUAAAUAGGCACGAGGUGGAAGUGCAGAGAUGUAUGAAGCCGAAGUGUACUAAUAGACCGUCGGCUUGACCA
rnacentral:rRNA from 1 species